rnacentral:rRNA from 1 species
ACGUCAGCGGCAGACGGGUGAGUCACGCGUGGGAACAUACCUCUUGGUUCGGAACAACACAGGGAAACUUGUGCUAAUACCGGAUAAGCCCUUACGGGGAAAGAUUUAUCGCCGAGAGAUUGGCCCGCGUCUGAUUAGCUAGUUGGUAGGGUAAUGGCCUACCAAGGCGACGAUCAGUAGCUGGUCUGAGAGGAUGAUCAGCCACAUUGGGACUGAGACACGGCCCAAACUCCUACGGGAGGCAGCAGUGGGGAAUAUUGGACAAUGGGGGCAACCCUGAUCCAGCCAUGCCGCGUGAGUGAUGAAGGCCCUAGGGUUGUAAAGCUCUUUUGUGCGGGAAGAUAAUGACGGUACCGCAAGAAUAAGCCCCGGCUAACUUCGUGCCAGCAGCCGCGGUAAUACGAAGGGGGCUAGCGUUGCUCGGAAUCACUGGGCGUAAAGGGUGCGUAGGCGGGUUUUUAAGUCAGGGGUGAAAUCCUGGAGCUCAACUCCAGAACUGCCUUUGAUACUGAAGAUCUUGAGUCCGGGAGAGGUGAGUGGAACUGCGAGUGUAGAGGUGAAAUUCGUAGAUAUUCGCAAGAACACCAGUGGCGAACGCGGCUCACUGGCCCGGUACUGACGCUGAGGCACGAAAGCGUGGGGAGCAAACAGGA